UACGUAGGUGGCAAGCGUUUGUCCGGAAUUAUUGGGCGUAAAGCGCGCGCAGGCGGUCUUUUAAGUCUGAUGUGAAAGCCCACGGCUCAACCGUGGAGGGUCAUUGGAAACUGGGGGGCUUGAGUGCAGGAGAGAAGAGUGGAAUUCCACGUGUAGCGGUGAAAUGCGUAGAGAUGUGGAGGAACACCAGUGGCGAAGGCGACUCUUUGGCCUGUAACUGACGCUGAGGCGCGAAAGCGUGGGGAGAAACAGG
rnacentral:rRNA from 1 species